rnacentral:rRNA from 2 species
GUAAUGAUUGGUGCUUGCAUCAUGAUUUACAUUUGAGUGAGUGGCGAACUGGUGAGUAACACGUGGGAAACCUGCCCAGAAGCGGGGGAUAACACCUGGAAACAGAUGCUAAUACCGCAUAACAACUUGGACCGCAUGGUCCGAGCUUGAAAGAUGGCUUCGGCUAUCACUUUUGGAUGGUCCCGCGGCGUAUUAGCUAGAUGGUGGGGUAACGGCUCACCAUGGCAAUGAUACGUAGCCGACCUGAGAGGGUAAUCGGCCACAUUGGGACUGAGACACGGCCCAAACUCCUACGGGAGGCAGCAGUAGGGAAUCUUCCACAAUGGACGAAAGUCUGAUGGAGCAACGCCGCGUGAGUGAAGAAGGGUUUCGGCUCGUAAAACUCUGUUGUUAAAGAAGAACAUAUCUGAGAGUAACUGUUCAGGUAUUGACGGUAUUUAACCAGAAAGCCACGGCUAACUACGUGCCAGCAGCCGCGGUAAUACGUAGGUGGCAAGCGUUGUCCGGAUUUAUUGGGCGUAAAGCGAGCGCAGGCGGUUUUUUAAGUCUGAUGUGAAAGCCUUCGGCUCAACCGAAGAAGUGCAUCGGAAACUGGGAAACUUGAGUGCAGAAGAGGACAGUGGAACUCCAUGUGUAGCGGUGAAAUGCGUAGAUAUAUGGAAGAACACCAGUGGCGAAGGCGGCUGUCUGGUCUGUAACUGACGCUGAGGCUCGAAAGUAUGGGUAGCAAACAGGAUUAGAUACCCUGGUAGUCCAUACCGUAAACGAUGAAUGCUAAGUGUUGGAGGGUUUCCGCCCUUCAGUGCUGCAGCUAACGCAUUAAGCAUUCCGCCUGGGGAGUACGGCCGCAAGGCUGAAACUCAAAGGAUUUGACGGGGGCCCGCACAAGCGGUGGAGCAUGUGGUUUAAUUCGAAGCUACGCGAAGAACCUUACCAGUCUUGACAUACUAUGCAAAUCUAAGAGAUUA